ensembl:lincRNA Gm42952 predicted gene 42952
GUGUUAUCCCGUGUGCUUCCAGACUCUGACCCAUAUCUGCAUUUUAUUGAACAAAUGAAUUUGGCUACUAAAGACUGAUCCUGGGAUGACAUCUUAGAUAUUCCUUCACCAAGAAUAGAUAACAGAGCAGGAACCAAAAAUUUCCUGGUGCCUCACUCCAAGUUGCAAUAUCAGCUCUUGCCAUAAAAAUAGGAAUGCUCCUGCCUGUGGAUGGGACCACACCCCUCUGCUCAUGUCAGCAAGCCCAUAGCUGCAGGACUGCUGGUAACCAUGGGAUGUUCAGAAGCCAUUUGCAACUGAGUCGGAGAGGGAGGAAAUGGAGACUCAUGCUUAUGAGCAGCUUGUGUCAUGCAGGGGGUUGUCAUGUUCCCAGUAAACACACAACAAGGAAACUAUACCCUAAAGCCAUACUCUUUCCUUGCCAAAAAGCCCCUUUGGGAGUUUCCCAACAGCCACCACCCUUUACAUUAGUCCAGAGCACAUUAUCAAUUGUUUUAAUUUAAAAAAACUAAUGUAUUUAUUUUGUGUUUAUAUGUGUGCUUAUACAUGUGUGUUAGGGUACAUGUGUGUACAUGCAUGGAGAGGGCAGAAGUCAACCUCAGGUGUCAUUCCCCAGGAAAUAUCCACCUAAUUUCUUGAGACAGGGUCUCUCACUGGGACUUGGGGAUUUCUGAGGAGGCCAAGUUAACUGGCUAGUGAGCCCCAAGGAUCAUCCUUUCUGCUUUAGCCUUCCCACCAGUGGUGUGAUGAGCACCAGCCACCACACCCAGAUUUCUAAUAUAGGUGCAGGGGAUUGAGU